rnacentral:rRNA from 1 species
UACGUAGGGUGCGAGCGUUAAUCGGAAUUACUGGCGUAAAGCGUGCGCAGGCGGUUCGUUGUGUCUGAAUGUCGAAAGCCCCGGGCUCAACCUGGGAAUGGCAUUGGAAACUGGCGAGCUAGAGUGUGGCAGAGGGGGUGGAAUUCCGCGGUGUAGCAGUGAAAUGCGUAGAGAUGCGGAGGAACACCGAUGGCGAAGGCAGCCCCCUGGGCUGACACUGACGCUCGAGGCACGAAAGCGUGGGGAGCAAACAGG